CCUACGGGAGGCAGCAGUGAGGAAUAUUGGUCAAUGGACGAGAGUCUGAACCAGCCAAGUAGCGUGAAGGAUGACUGCCCUAUGGGUUGUAAACUUCUUUUAUAUGGGAAUAAAACGUUCCACGUGUGGGAUUUUGUAUGUACCAUAUGAAUAAGGAUCGGCUAACUCCGUGCCAGCAGCCGCAGUAAUACGGAGGAUCCGAGCGUUAUCCGGAUUUAUUGGGUUUAAAGGGAGCGUAGGUGGAUUGUUAAGUCAGUUGUGAAAGUUUGCGGCUCAACCGUAAAAUUGCAGUUGAAACUGGCAGUCUUGAGGACAGUAGAGGUGGGCGGAAUUCGUGGUGUAGCGGUGAAAUGCUUAGAUAUCACGAAGAACUCCGAUUGCGAAGGCAGUUCACUGGACUGCAACUGACACUGAGGCUCGAAAGUGUGGGUAUCAAACAGGAUUAGAUACCCUAGUAGUC
rnacentral:rRNA from 1 species